GUCCCUAUCGAUUAGUGGUUAAAUCAUCUCGUUGUGGUCUAUAGAGCUCCGAGAAGCCGCAGGCUCGAAUCCUGCUAGGGACA